GUGCAAAGAAAAAUUAUUGGUGGAGCCACUUUAUUCAUUUAAAAUUAUGGUUAGUAACCACGUGAGUGAAACAAGAUGGGAGAGUUAGUUUUUUUAGUGAUCCUUGCCGAAAAGAAAGGCAAACGUUAGAGUUAGUGGAAUUAUGGGAGAUUAAGAGGGAGGAUUAUUUUCUGGUUAUAAAUUGGAAAACAGAGAGAAAAGUAGGAGGGCAUUGUGAGACAGUGGCUGGAAAAAAAAUUCAAAGAGUAGUUUGAAGUUACUUGAGGCAAGAACGAGAGUUGGAAGGAGGUGAAAGUUUUGGCUGGAAACCUUGAGUAAAGAAAGGAGUCUAGGAUCAUUCAAGGUAAGGGAAGCUUAUCACUAUUUUAUGUUUGAUGAUUGAUGUUCUUGUUGUGAACCUUUGCAUGAUUUAUAUUGAUAUUACUUGCUGUUUAAUCAAAAUAUAAUAUAUACUGUGACGAAUGGGUUCGUGAAUCCAUAUAUUAAUUUUGUUUGUGUAAGGGGAGGAACCUAGCUUUGUGUAUGGUUUCGAUAUACUUACUCUUCUCCGCGUAGUAGAGGAUUCACGUGUUGUUUUAUACAGAUGAUAAUGUUUUAUGGGUUCUGUGAUGCAUGGAGGGAUAAGAACUAGGGGCUUUGCGAGAAAAGAAACUCUAGAUUAUAAGCUCUCAGUUUCUUCUCGUUGUAAGGUGGUGCAUGAGGAGGGUCUCGUGAUUUUUUUUGAUGUUGUGUUAUCUUAAGAGAGACGUGGAGAUGUAUCAUAGAGAGUUGACCAUGAGUGAAAGUAGCGAGAAGAAUUAAGAGGAAAGGAAAAGGAAGCACAUAAAUAGGAAACCUAGAGGGGAGGACACCGAGAAGAGAGAAAACCUGGAAGUGAGGUGUGGGCAUAUGUUUUAAAUGACAGGGGUGGAGGUUUGGUUGCCUAGAUUGAGUGGAGAAGAUGAGAGUGUGGUAAUAGUGAAUAAGGGGAUGAGAUUGUACGUAUGAUUUUAUAGCAAGAAAACGUUGGCUUUGAGAUUCUUCGUUAAGGGGUGGGUCACAUGAAGUAGGGUUGCAUAGGGUGAUGUAUACAUUGGUUGAAAUAAGCGUGAAGAAGAAGGGGAAGGGUUUCUGCAUGGCUUGUGCAUUCUUGGAUGUUGUUACGUAGGUGGAGCGUGAGAGGAUUAGUGGUUAAGUGGAGAAAGAGAAGGUGAGAGUCUCGAGAGUUGCACGGUGCAGAAUUUUCAUGUAGAGAAAGAAGUAGAAAAUAAAAGAAUAUGAAAGGAAAGGAUGGAGGGUUGUCUCUGUUUUACGGGGUCAAUUUAUAUUAUAAUAGUUAAAUUAAUGAAAAAUGGGUAGAGAAGGAAUUAAGCAAGAAAAAAAGAAUAUAAAGAGUGAGGUUAAUUUGGCAGAUUGUGUCACUCUCCUUUUGGGGGGUUCGUGGUUUUAAUUGAAUGAAAAAUUAUAGCUACUCGGAGUUAAAAAGGAAAAAGGGGAGAAUAUAAAAUAAAGAAUAAUGAUUUGUAGAUUUAGUGUGGGUCAUAGUAGCAUUUUAAUGAGGAAGGGGAGAGAGGAAUGUGUGAGAAAUUGUGUUACAGGGAGGAGCAUUGUCUCUUUUGGGUUUGAAAGUUAUUUUAUUUUGUUUAUAAGGUAGGAAAGUGGUGGGUCCCACGUCAAUUAGAAAGGAAAUUAGAAAGUGUAUAAUGAGUUGGUGAUUGGAUAUUUAAAUAAAGAUUUUGAGAGCGGUGUUAAGAAGGGGUGAAUAGAAAUAUUAUAUUAUAUUAUUUUGGGUUAUAGGAUUGUUAGAUUUAUUUUCAUAUCAUAUUAAAAUGGUAUAUUAGCAAAGCUAAGGUUGGUUGUUAUUUUAUCCGUUAAAUAAAUAAGUUGUAGUUUAAAUAUAAUAAGAUUAAGUGAGUUUUAAUUUUUGUAAGCAUUUUAGGCUUUUAGGUUAUUUAUGUUAUCUCCUUCGGUUUUAUUUUAUCGGAUGUAAUCCCGAUUUUCGAUAUAACAGAUUGUUAUAUAUAUCAUUAAGAAUUUGAUGUUGAUGCAUGUUAGUGUGAUUAAAUACGUAUGAAGAAUUUCUUUUAAUUGUGUUUUGUUUUAGAAUGGAUAAACUAGAAACAUGUACUCUCAUCGUAUCGGUGUAAAAAUCGAGGUAGUAUCUUUCCUCUUGCGAGGGGGUAGAAAGGUAGGUCUCUUCGUCUAUAAAAGGCGGUAGAAGAGACAAGGUUCGAGUGUCACUCUUUCCUCUUUCGAGAGGGUAGAAAGGGUUGGAUGUCUCACCCGUAGGUUUUCCAAUUGAGCUGAGUAUAGUGCCCGUUGUGAAAGUAGCGGAGUUUUUACUCAUAAGUCUUGAGGAGCAAGGGAGAUAGAUAUGAAGCUGCGGUAGAGGAUGACUCGAACUAUCCUAUUUUGGACUCGAACUAUCCUGUUUUGGUGAACAGGUUUUAUAUGAGAGAGUACAAAGAGACAAUGUGUAUCUUCUGUAUUUAUUGAUUUUGGUGUACUUAAUUGAAUACGUCAUGUUAACCAUAUNANUUUGUUNNNUANUNAUUGANGUGUUGAUGUUGUAUUUGAAUAUGGUAGCUUACCCUUAUUGUUUGUGUAUGAAUGCGAUGAUCGUAUAACUCGUGUUGUUAUACGGGAGCAGAUGUUGAUACAAAUGUUCCAGUUGAUAAUUAGAGCGGAAAGAAGUCGAGAAUGGAAUGGGGAAAGAUUUUCUUUGUUUUUGAACAUUUUCAGUUAAAUUGAAUUAUGUUAUUUUAUUUUCAGUUGAUUUGGAAAUUACCAGUUUGUAAUAAAUUUCCCUUUAAUGGGACUGUGAUGGUUUAUUGUUUAUUUCCUCAGUCUAAGAUUUAUAUGAAUGAAUUAUUUUGUUUUCUCUAUCAAAAGAACAUAUUUUUUUUCCCAUAACAUAUAAGAAUUUUGAUAAGAAUAAGUUGAGGAACACUUUGGCCAUGAAAGACCUGAUACUUAAGUUAUCCAUUGUGACGUACCUCUCUUUCCUGGAAGUCUACUCAAUGAGUUUUUAACCAAAUUCUUAUUAGGCAGAGUAUGUACUGUUAAAUUAUUUUGUAAUAUAUUCAAUUAGUAAGAUUUUUGUGAUGGAUAGAUUUUAUGAUGUUUGUAUGAAUUAUUGCUUGUAUGCGUUUUUAUAUCCUUUUUCUCUUGCAUCUAUCUGGAAGGAUAAGAAGGUGUCUAUCUGACUUUGCCAGAUUCAACUUCUUGGUUCCCUAGAAUGUUUAUAUUAAAGUUAUUUUUUUUUAUGGUAGGAUAGAGGAAUCUUAAAAACCGGAGUUGGUACAUCCCUGAUCAUAGAUCAGCCCUGGUUUGAUCCAGUAAGUUGUGACUAGUCAUAUAUACUGGCGUUUAUGGCGAGUUUGAUUCGUCAAACAUUUGAUUCUUCUCCGGUGACCAUUUUAACUAAAUUCUUGUCAAACAGAUUUUGUAUUGUAAAUUUAUUUUAUGAUAUAUUCAUUUUGUAUGAGUUAUGUGGAGGGAUUUUGUAGUGGCAUGGUGUGAGUUGAUGAAUAUGAACAUGAUAUAAGUCUCGUGGAGAGAUUCUGUAGUGGCAUGCUAUUAAUGUACAUGUUGAUUUUGAGGGUCCUGAUGGGAAGGUCAUCCUGAUACUCUAAUAACUAUUCAGUCUCAAGUAGACGAGGAUGAGUUAUGUGGUGAGAGGGGCAUGAGGUCCUAGUCUAUGUGCUGGCUUUGGACAUAGGUAUUAACAGACUAACCUUAUGGUGAUAGGUUGGAUUGUAUUUGGCCAUUAUUAUUGUUGUAUGGGGAAUGGAGGUCACCACAAGUGCACGACGACCCCGAGACUUCCAUCAAUGUUCUAUUCGGAUAAUGGAGUCUAGUAUAAUCAUUGGUGUCUGAUAUUAAUUUUUAUUGAAAAUGAAGUAUUUGUGAUAAUUAUGUUAUACCUUAUUUUAAUAUUCUCUCUGAUGGUAGCUUACCUUUACUUUUUGUGUUUGUGCCGGAAAAUUAUAUUUUUGCGAUGAUUGUAUAACAUACAUUUUAUAUGGGAGCAGAUGAAGAAAUGUCGUCUAAAUCCAUUACAAGUGAAGAUAAAGGGAGAAGAAUAAGAGUUCGAGUUAUCUUUGUGGGUGAGAAGUUGAAAUCUAAGUUUAAAAUGUGUAAUUAAUGUGAAAUUCUUUGUACUUCCUGGUGGAAGAUUAUGUAAGCGUUACAAUUCUCAUAUUAUUUAUGAAAAAAAAAUUUGGUGUGAGAAUUUUGGGAUGUUACACGAGGCAUAUACGGGCGAGGUAAAAGGUGAGAGACUUUUGGCCACGGUUCAAACCGAGGUAAUAUCCUAAGGCUACUACCUCGGUUCUUCAGCAACUGAAGUAGUAAAGAAGAGAAAAAAAAUGGGGGGGGGGUUAUUACCUCGGUUUUAAUAGCAGGUCUGUUUUUGUGAUAUCCACUGUCACAAAAACAGGCUUACAUAUCAAACAAUAUCAUAACAACAUAGAUUCAACACAGAAAGUCAAUAUUUACAUCACAUAAUAUACAAAGACUAAUAACUAUAAAUCAACAUGUUCUAGUGUAUUUUACAUCUAAUGACUAUGAACUAAAUGUUUUGCAAGGGCCUUUUUCAGGUACGUAAGUGGCUUCUCAGGAAGUGGAGCAGAAGUCUUGAAUCUCUGCACAAUACAAUUAAUAUUAAUUAGUGUAUAUGAAUUCCAAAUGAUGGAGAAAAUCAAAAUUCAUUAAAUUUAAAUAUUACCGUUUCCCAGCCUGUUGUGAUAUGGGCACGAAAUAAUGUGGGCCAUCCAAUACAUUACGUAGCAU
rnacentral:lncRNA from 1 species